AGACUCACAAAGUGUCACUGCUGAGCGGGCUCCACAGCACUGCCUCUCAUGCAUUCAUGCACUCACGUGACCUACUCCGUGCCAGGCCAGGGGCUCGGUGUGGAGAUGCAGGGCUGGAAGAGCACAUCCUGGUGCAGCAGGCAGUUCGUAAGCAGGAAUUCAAAUCUCCUCUGUGCCUUUGCAAAGCAACAUCCAUCUUGAACAUAAAUGAGGUUCUGGCUUGAUUUCUGGGCUUGGGCAUCAGACAUCUCCCUUUUGCGGACACCUACAGCUCUGUUCUUGAAUUUUGUGAUUGCGGAUAAGCACCCGCUCCUUCUUUUUAAGUCCUUUGGCAGAUAGUCAUUCAUGCUUACAGGAUGACCCAGGCAAAGCUAAACACAGAUCUGGGCUCCAAUCCCACCAUGGCUGUGUGACCUAGUGGAAGUUCCUUAACCUCUCUGAGCCUCAGCUUUCUUUUCCACAGAUUGCUGAUUAAAACACUUACUUUAGUGUUAACACAAGGGAAAGCUGGGCGUGGAGGUCUAUGAGAAUUCUCUAUACUAUUUUUGCAACUCUUUUGUGAAUAUGAAAUAAUCUAAACUAGAAGAUUUAAAAAAAAAAACAAACCCAAACACGUGCUU
ensembl:lncRNA novel transcript